UACAGAGGGGGCAAGCGUUGUUCGGAAUUACUGGGCGUAAAGGGCGCGUAGGCGGUCAGGUCAGUCCCGUGUGAAAUCCCUCGGCUCAACUGAGGAACUGCACGGGAAACUGCCUGGCUUGAGUUCGGGAGAGGGAAGCGGAAUUCCGGGUGUAGCGGUGAAAUGCGUAGAUAUCCGGAGGAACACCGGUGGCGAAGGCGGCUUCCUGGACCGACACUGACGCUGAGGCGCGAAAGCUAGGGGAGCAAACGGG
rnacentral:rRNA from 1 species